rnacentral:tRNA from 1 species
GCCUGGGUGGCUUAGUUGGUUAAGCAUCUGACUUCAGCUCAGAUCAUGAUCUUACAGUUUGUGGGCUCAAGCUCUGCAUCGGGCU